rnacentral:rRNA from 1 species
AAAUGCUCCGGCGCCAAAGGAUGGAUCUGCGGCAGAUUAGGUAGUUGGCGGGGUAAAUGCCCACCAAGCCAGUAAUCUGUACGGGUUGUGAGAGCAAGAGCCCGGAGAUGGAACCUGAGACAAGGUUCCAGGCCCUACGGGGCGCACGAGGCGCGAAACCUCCGCAAUGCGAGCAAUCGCGACGGGGGAAACCCAAGUGCCACUCUUAACGGGGUGGCUUUUCUGAAGUGUAAAAAGCUUCAGGAAUAAG